rnacentral:rRNA from 1 species
CCUACGGGGUGCUGCAGUGGGGAAUAUUGGACAAUGGGCGAAAGCCUGAUCCAGCCAUGCCGCGUGUGUGAAGAAGGCCUUCGGGUUGUAAAGCACUUUCAGUGGGGAAGAAAGCCUUGGGGCUAAUACCCUCGAGGAAGGACAUCACCCACAGAAGAAGCACCGGCUAACUCCGUGCCAGCAGCCGCGGUAAUACGGAGGGUGCGAGCGUUAAUCGGAAUUACUGGGCGUAAAGCGCGCGUAGGCGGUCUGAUAAGCCGGUUGUGAAAGCCCCGGGCUCAACCUGGGAACGGCAUCCGGAACUGCCAGGCUAGAGUGCAGGAGAGGAAGGUAGAAUUCCCGGUGUAGCGGUGAAAUGCGUAGAGAUCGGGAGGAAUACCAGUGGCGAAGGCGGCCUUCUGGACUGACACUGACGCUGAGGUGCGAAAGCGUGGGUAGCAAACAGGAUUAGAUACCCUUGUAGUC